AUUGGCAGCUGUUUCUCGUUCAUUAUUUGUGCCAAGAAGCAUAUCACACAUAUAUCCUCUGUUGUUGGACAGGUUCUAAAAAAAUACAGCCGAGGCCACGUUUGAGCUGUGUGGGAUCUAUGUUCCCUUUCGGAUAUCCUCAUUUUUUUGUGCGUCUCCUCAUGGAACGUUGUAUACAUUAUUAGGACUUCUAAUAUCUGAUGGAAGAAUCAAGCCAGACCUUUUUUCCCUCCAUUAUGAUUCCAGUAUGGUAAACUACCUCAGAACUUCAUACACUGGACAUGUGACUGGUCUUUCAAGAGAAACUCCAGGUGGCAAGCCUCAUCACCCCUACUGAUAUAGAUCCAAUCACCAGCCACCAAUAGGGUUGAAGUUAAUAUUUGGAGUUGCCAGACCUCAGACAGUGAAAAUUCCAAAGACUCAGAUGGAUAUGUACAAGUAAUAGGACUGGUAUCAACCGCUGAGAUGAGACAAACUGGGAAUUCUUUGAUAAACUUUUUUCAAGCAUUAAGGAAAUCUGAUAAACACAAUAAAUGCUCAUAUAUGAUUGACAUUAAUAAUUUAUUUAUAAUUUUUUCUCAGUUUGAAAAACAGUAGUUAUCACAGAAUACUUAGAACAAUUGGUCCAAAACAACAAUUUGGAACAAAAGGACAAAA